GUGUUGUGUGAAAGGAAAGAAGGUUAGCACUCCCCUUGACAAGGGUGGAAGAUGUCCUCGGGCCUGAUAAAAUGAAUACGGUUAAGACAUUGCCAUCUACUUCAUGGCAUCUAAUCAUCGCUUUUA
ensembl:snRNA